UAGUCUCCAAGGUGCUACCGCGUGCGUUUUGGCUGUCAGAUUUGAACUGCCGGAGAACGUUAAAAGACGACAAGGGGGUCUGAAUAAAAAAACUGCAUGACAUCCUGUCUGAAGAUCUAGAUCACAAUGAACAGGUGUCUUCACCUGCUACUUUGCAAAGGAGACUCUACAAGCUUGAUUGCGAAGCCUAACAGGAUCUGAUGAUGGUGGGUCAUAAUGAUUUUUGAGAUGCAGAGAUAUGUUUUUGAUUGGGGGAGGGUGGGGCGAUGAGGUCCCGCGUCAGAGCGAGGGCCUGGCAGGGCUCAUUGUCAUCAAGGGCCCCUGCGUGAUU